AUUGAACGCUGGCGGCAGGCCUAACACAUGCAAGUCGACCGAGUGGCGGACGGGUGAGUAAUGUCUGGGAAACUGCCUGAUGGAGGGGGAUACCUACUGGAAACGUUCGCUACUAGCGCCUACUAUCCGAUGUGCCCAGAUUGGAUUAGCUUGUUGGUGGGGUAACGGCUCACCAAGGAGACGAUCCCUCGCUGGUCUGAGAGGAUGACGAGGGAAACGUGAGCUGUGACGAGGACCAAGAGCCUACGGGAGGGACGAGGUGGGAAGAUGGCGCAAUGGGCGAAAGCCUGAUGCAGGCAUGCCGGGUGUAGGAAGAAGGCCUUCGGGUAGUAAAGCACUUUCAGUGGGGAGGCGUUGCCCUUAGAAGAAGCACCGGCUAACUCUGUGCCAGCAGCCGCGGUAAUAC
rnacentral:rRNA from 1 species